rnacentral:rRNA from 1 species
GAUGAACGCUGGCGGCGUGCCUAAUACAUGCAAGUCGAGCGAACGGACGAGAAGCUUGCUUCUCUGAUGUUAGCGGCGGACGGGUGAGUAACACGUGGAUAACCUACCUAUAAGACUGGGAUAACUUCGGGAAACCGGAGCUAAUACCGGAUAAUAUUUUGAACCGCAUGGUUCAAAAGUGAAAGACGGUCUUGCUGUCACUUAUAGAUGGAUCCGCGCUGCAUUAGCUAGUUGGUAAGGUAACGGCUUACCAAGGCAACGAUGCAUAGCCGACCUGAGAGGGUGAUCGGCCACACUGGAACUGAGACACGGUCCAGACUCCUACGGGAGGCAGCAGUAGGGAAUCUUCCGCAAUGGGCGAAAGCCUGACGGAGCAACGCCGCGUGAGUGAUGAAGGUCUUCGGAUCGUAAAACUCUGUUAUUAGGGAAGAACAUAUGUGUAAGUAACUGUGCACAUCUUGACGGUACCUAAUCAGAAAGCCACGGCUAACUACGUGCCAGCAGCCGCGGUAAUACGUAGGUGGCAAGCGUUAUCCGGAAUUAUUGGGCGUAAAGCGCGCGUAGGCGGUUUUUUAAGUCUGAUGUGAAAGCCCACGGCUCAACCGUGGAGGGUCAUUGGAAACUGGAAAACUUGAGUGCAGAAGAGGAAAGUGGAAUUCCAUGUGUAGCGGUGAAAUGCGCAGAGAUAUGGAGGAACACCAGUGGCGAAGGCGACUUUCUGGUCUGUAACUGACGCUGAUGUGCGAAAGCGUGGGGAUCAAACAGGAUUAGAUACCCUGGUAGUCCACGCCGUAAACGAUGAGUGCUAAGUGUUAGGGGGUUUCCGCCCCUUAGUGCUGCAGCUAACGCAUUAAGCACUCCGCCUGGGGAGUACGACCGCAAGGUUGAAACUCAAAGGAAUUGACGGGGACCCGCACAAGCGGUGGAGCAUGUGGUUUAAUUCGAAGCAACGCGAAGAACCUUACCAAAUCUUGACAUCCUUUGACAACUCUAGAGAUAGAGCUUUCCCCUUCGGGGGACAAAGUGACAGGUGGUGCAUGGUUGUCGUCAGCUCGUGUCGUGAGAUGUUGGGUUAAGUCCCGCAACGAGCGCAACCCUUAAGCUUAGUUGCCAUCAUUAAGUUGGGCACUCUAAGUUGACUGCUGGUGACAAACCGGAGGAAGGUGGGGAUGACGUCAAAUCAUCAUGCCCCUUAUGAUUUGGGCUACACACGUGCUACAAUGGACAAUACAAAGGGCAGCGAAACCGUGAGGUCAAGCAAAUCCCAUAAAGUUGUUCUCAGUUCGGAUUGUAGUCUGCAACUCGACUACAUGAAGCUGGAAUCGCUAGUAAUCGUAGAUCAGCAUGCUACGGUGAAUACGUUCCCGGGUCU